AACGUAGGACACAAGCGUUGUCCGGAUUUAUUGGGCGUAAAGAGCGUGUAGGCGGCCAGGUAGGUCUGCUGUGAAAACUCGAGGCUCAACCUCGAGACGUCGGCGGAAACCAUCUGGCUAGAGUCCGGAAGAGGAGAGUGGAAUUCCUGGUGUAGCGGUGAAAUGCGCAGAUAUCAGGAAGAACACCCGUGGCGAAGGCGGCUCUCUGGGACGGUACUGACGCUGAGACGCGAAAGCGUGGGGAGCGAACAGG
rnacentral:rRNA from 1 species